CCCCCUCACUCCAAAACCAAACAUUUCUGAGAGAGAGAAAAAACCAAAAGUAAAAAUGAAAUUAGGGUUAAAAAUUGGGUGAAGUGCACCAACAGAUUCAUAACCAACAAGAAGAACCCACCAUUGCAAUUAGGGUUCUAAAUCCCAAGUGUCAAAGGUGUUGUGAUCAGACCCAACAACUGCAGCGCCUGCAAACGACGACGCCGUCGGCGAGGAGGUCUUGUUUGCCCCCUCUGCCUCCGAGCCUCAGGAGAACUGUCUCUGAUCUCACUCCUUCGCCGGUUAAAGCUUCACCUCGUUCUUUGAGCUCUAAAGAAACCACCCCUUAUUUAACGAAGCUGAGGAAGAUGGAGGAUCUAAUGAGGGAGAUGAUGCAAAGGUGUGAUGAAGUUAUGAAAAGUGAAGAAGAAGGAGAUGAAGAGUGUGUUGUUGCUGAAAUUGGCAAAGUCUCAUCUCAGGAUGAAUUGCAUAGAAAUUCUGAAGAAGCUGUAAGCGUGGAAUGGACAUGAAGAUUUGGGUUGCUUAAUCCAUAUUUGUUUAGCUUUUGAGGUGGAGAUGUUUUAGGAAUUGAUUUUUUUUGGGUGAGAUGAUGAGAGGAAGAAGAUGAUGGAGAAAUUGCAUAUUUUUUAAUUUGGGGAUUUUGACCAGGGAAUAAAUUGAAGUUCUUAAGUUUUCAAAAAAAAUUCCCCAAUUUUAAAUCCACGUGGAAAUUCCACAUGAGCAAAUAACGAGCCA